rnacentral:rRNA from 1 species
UACGGAGGGUGCAAACGUUGCUCGGAAUCAUUGGGCGUAAAGCGCACGUAGGCGGCUUUGUAAGUUAGAGGUGAAAGCCCGGGGCUCAACUCCGGAAUUGCCUUUAAGACUGCAUCGCUAGAAUUGUGGAGAGGUAAGUGGAAUUCCGAGUGUAGAGGUGAAAUUCGUAGACAUUCGGAAGAACACCAGUGGCGAAGGCGACUUACUGGACACAUAUUGACGCUGAGGUGCGAAAGCGUGGGGAGCAAACAGG